AACAAGGUUUCCGUAGGUGAACCUGCGGAAGGAUCAUUACAGUUAAUUAUUCUUGCCAGCGCUUAACUGCGCGGCGAGAUAUAAUCUCACACACAGUGUUUUUUGUUAUUACAAGAACUAUUGCUUUGGCUUGGCCGCAAGGUUGGGCCAGAGGUUUAUUAAACUUCAAUUUGAUUAUUGAAUUGUUAUUUUUAAUGUUUUGUCAAUUUGUUUGAUUAGAUUCAAAAUAAUCUUCAAAACUUUCAACAACGGAUCUCUUGGUUCUCGCAUCGAUGAAGAACGCAGCGAAAUGCGAUAAGUAAUAUGAAUUGCAGAUUUUCGUGAAUCAUCGAAUCUUUGAACGCACAUUGCGCUCUUUGGUAUUCCGAAGAGCAUGCCUGUUUGAGCGUCAUUUCUCUCUCAAACCGCAAGGUUUGGUAUUGAGUGAUACUCUUAGUCGGACUAAGCGUUUGCUUGAAAUGCAAUGGCAAGAGUGGCGCUGGAUAGUGCUUCUUGAUUAUUCAAUGUAUUAGGUUUAUCCAACUCGUUGAACUGGUCGGAAGUGAGUUUCUGGACGCUGUGGCUCGGCCUUACAACAACAAACAAGUUGACCUCAAAUCAGGUAGGAUUACCCGCUGAACUUAAGCAUAU
rnacentral:rRNA from 1 species